AGAGUUUGAUCCUGGCUCAGAAUCAACGCUGGCGGCGCGCUUAACACAUGCAAGUCGCACGAGAAAGCGGGAGCAAUCCUGCAAGUACAGUGGCGUACGGGUGAGUAACACGUGGGUAAUCUACCUUUUAGUGGGGAAUAACGCUGGGAAACCGGCGCUAAUACCGCAUAAUCUCGAGAGAGGAAAGCAGCAAUGCGCUGAAAGAGGAGCCCGCGGCCGAUUAGCUAGUUGGUAGGGUAAAAGCCUACCAAGGCAUAGAUCGGUAGCCGGCCUGAGAGGGCACACGGCCACACUGGCACUGAAACACGGGCCAGACUCCUACGGGAGGCAGCAGUGGGGAAUCUUGCACAAUGGGGGCAACCCUGAUGCAGCGACGCCGCGUGAGCGAUGAAGCCCUUCGGGGUGUAAAGCUCUUUCGGCAGGGACGAUAAUGACGGUACCUGCAGAAGCAGCUGCGGCUAACUACGUGCCAGCAGCCGCGGUA
rnacentral:rRNA from 1 species